GACGAACGCUGGCGGCGUGCCUAAUACAUGCAAGUAGAACGCUGAAGGAAGGAGCUUGCUCUUUCUGGAUGAGUGGCGAACGGGUGAGUAACGCGUAGGUAACCUGCCUGUUAGCGGGGGAUAACUAUUGGAAACGAUAGCUAAUACCGCAUAAAAUUUAUUAUUGCAUGAUAGUCAAUUAAAAGGUGCAACUGCACCACUACCAGAUUGACCUGCGUUGUAUUAGCUAGUUGGUGGGGUAACGGCCCAACAAGGCGACGAUACAUAGCCGACCUGAGAGGGUGGUCGGCCAACCUGGGAACGGGACCCGGCCCCGGCUUCCACGGGAGGCAGCCGUAGGGGAUCCUCCGCAAUGGACGGAAGUCUGACCGGGCCACGCCGCGUGGGUGGAGGAGGUUUUCCGGUCGUAAAGCUCUGUUGUAUGAGAAGAACGAGUGUGAGAGUGGACAGUUCACACUGUGACGGUAUCUUACCAGAAAGGGACGGCUAACUACGUG
rnacentral:rRNA from 1 species